UUGGCACUGGCUGACUGAUCCUGA
rnacentral:piRNA from 1 species